rnacentral:rRNA from 1 species
GGGGAAAGAUUUAUUGGUUUUGGAUGGACUCGCGGCCUAUCAGUUUGAUGGUGGGGUAAUGGCCUACCAUGGCGAUGACGGGUAACCGGCCUGAGAGGGUGACCGGUCACACUGGAACUGAGACACGGUCCAGACUCCUACGGGAGGCAGCAGUGGGGAAUAUUGCACAAUGGGCGCAAGCCUGAUGCAGCGACGCCGCGUGAAGGAUGAAUGCCUUCGGGUU